UACGGGGGGGGCAAGCGUUGUUCGGAAUUACUGGGCGUAAAGGGCUCGUAGGCGGCCAACUAAGUCAGACGUGAAAUCCCCAGGCUCAACCUGGGAACUGCGUCUGAUACUGGAUGGCUUGAAUUCGGGAGAGGGAUGCAGAAUUCCAGGUGUAGCGGUGAAAUGCGUAGAUAUCUGGAGGAACACCGGUGGCGAAGGCGGCAUCCUGGACCAACACUGACGCUGAGGCGCGAAAGCGUGGGGAGCAAACAGG
rnacentral:rRNA from 1 species